rnacentral:lncRNA from 1 species
GUUUUCAAAAGACACCUCCGCUCUCACCGGUUUCCCUUCCGGUCGUCUCACCGCAGCGGGAGUGGCCACGACUUUACCUGAAAAGAUGUCACACUUGCCCCACUCCUGCCUCCGGCCCGCCCUCGCUCUGACCCUCUGACCGGAUCCCACCCAUUCCUCCCCUGCCGGGACCGGGAGGAGGUCAUCGCAGCCUUGUCCCCCGGAGGCUCCGGGAAGCUCCUCGCUGACCUUCACCCUGUCUCGCCUGCAGCCCAACCUCCCAACCUCCUGCCCACCCCCUCCGCCGCUGCUGCCCCCAGCUCUUGGCACCAAACCCUCCGCUUGGGUCCUUCCCGCCCUCCAGGAGCCCCCUCGGCCUCACCUCCUGCCCAGCCUGGCAGCUCUUGAAAGGGUUGUCCUUACUCCGGCUCCACGGCCACCCACCUCUCACCGCCCCCGACCCGAGGUCUGACUCCCGUCCGGUGCGCCAAGGUCACCGGCAGCCUCUCCGCUCCUCGUGCCACUUCGCUGCCCGCACCAACUCGCCUCCUCAGGAUCUCAACGAGGCAUCCCGUGCCUUCUGUGCUCUGUGAACACCCACAGAUGCACCCACCACCCCCAGCCCAGGGCUCUCCCCAGGGCCCACUCUGCGAUCCACUUGACGUCUGAGAAACACGACGAGCGUCCCAGCUCCGGCUCCUCUGCCUGGAAUGUCCUCCCCGUGUACGUGCAAGGCUCACCCCUCGGCCGCCUUUAUGCCUUCAUUCAAACGUCACCUUCUUGGUGAGGCUUGACCUGACCGUGCCAUCUAAACCUUCCCGAAGCUUCCUUGACCAGGACUGCCAGCCACCCUUACCUUUAUUGUAUGUUUUCCACGCUUCUAACGGACUACGUCAUUUACAUAGGAUUACAUAUAUUUUUAAAGAUUUUAUUUAUUUAUUCAUGAGAGACACAGCGAGAGAGGCAGAGACACAGGCAGAGGGAGAAGCAGGCUCCCUGCGGGGAGCCCGAUGCGGGACUCGAACCCCAGCCCGGGAUCAGGCCCUGAGCCAAGCGCAGCCAUGGUUUUGCUACGCCUUCAAAUCUGCACCUGAGUCCUCAUCCUAUAGCCACUGCUUCACCCCCAGGCCCUAUGGUUCUGGUGUCUGGGCUGCUUCGGACUCUCCCUUGCCCCCCGCCGGCCCCCGCCAGGCCGCCACCCCGAGAGGCAGGACCAGGAGCCAGACUGGCUGGGUGCUUCCCCUGGCUCUGCCAGCUACUGGCUGUGUGACUUCGGGCAGGUUCCCUAACCUCCCUGUGCUCUAUUCCCCCGUUCGUGAAACAGGGAUGAUGAUAACAGCACCUCUGU